rnacentral:rRNA from 1 species
UACGGAGGGUGCGAGCGUUAUCCGGAUUCACUGGGUUUAAAGGGUGCGUAGGUGGGUUUGUAAGUCAGUGGUGAAAUCUCCAGGCUUAACCUGGAAACUGCCAUUGAUACUACAGGUCUUGAAUUUUCUGGAGGUAAGCGGAAUAUGUCAUGUAGCGGUGAAAUGCUUAGAUAUGACAUAGAACACCAAUUGCGAAGGCAGCUUGCUACAGGGAUAUUGACACUGAGGCACGAAAGCGUGGGGAUCAAACAGG